GUGUGUUCAAGCCGGCAGGUGUUGCAUGUGCGGGGUUGUGGGGGCCUUGUGGUUCUGCUGCCGCAGGAUUGGCCAGUGAGAAAUGUUGCGUGAAGGUGAAGCGUCUGGGAAGGCGUACCGGAGUGGGUGAGAGUCCUGUAACUGUAAGCGUGGCACUGGUGUGGGGUUGCCCCGAGUAGCGUGGGACUCGUGGAAUUUCGCGUGAAUCUGGCGGGACCACCCGUCAAGCCUAAAUACUCCUUGGUGACCGAUAGUGGAUGAGUACCGUGAGGGAAGGGUGAAAAGUACCCCGGGAGGGGAGUGAAAGAGUUCCUGAAACCGGUCGCAUGCAAGCCGUCAGAGCCUGUGUGGUGAUGGCGUGCCUUUUGAAGAAUGAGCCUGCGAGUUAGUGAUGCGUGGCGAGGUUAACCCGUGGUGGGGGAGUCGUAGCGAAAGCGAGUCCGAUAAGGGCGUGAGUCGCGUGUUCUAGACCCGAAGCGGUGUGAUCUAUCCAUGGCCAGGAUGAAGCGUCGGUAAGACGUCGUGGAGGUCCGAACCCACUUCAGUUGAAAAUGGAGGGGAUGAGUUGUGGAUAGGGGUGAAAGGCCAAUCAAACACCGUGAUAGCUGGUUCUCCCCGAAAUGCAUUUAGGUGCAGCGUUGCGUGGUUCUUGUUGGAGGUAGAGCACUGGAUGGUCUAGGGGGCUUAUCGGCUUACCGAAAUCAGCCAAACUCCGAAUGCUGGCAAGUGUAGCGUGGCAGUGAGACGGCGGGGGAUAAGCUUCGUCGUCGAGAGGGAAACAGCCCAGAUCAUCAGCUAAGGCCCCUAAGUGGUGACUCAGUGGGAAAGGAUGUGGAGUUGCGUAGACAACCAGGAGGUUGGCUUGGAAGCAGCCAUCCUUGAAAGAGUGCGUAAUAGCUCACUGGUCAAGUGAUUCCGCGCCGAUAAUGUAGCGGGGCUUAAGUUAUCCGCCGAAGCUGUGGCAACCUGUGUGGUUGGGUAGGGGAGCGUCGUGUCAGUGGUGAAGCUGCCGGGUGACUGUGUGGUGGAGUUGAUGCGAGUGAGAAUGCAGGCAUGAGUAGCGUGUGACGGGUGGGAAUCCCGUCCGCCGAUUAUCCAAGGGUUCCAGGGUCAAGUUUGUCUGCCCUGGGUGAGUCGGGUCCUAAGGCGAGGCCGACAGGCGUAGUCGAUGGGUAACCAGUUGAUAUUCUGGUACCGGCUUGUCACCGUCCGUGUCGAGGUGUGUGAUGCUAAGCAUGUGAGCUUGUCUUGGGAGUGUUUUUGAUGCUUCUGGGGUGGGUGAGUGUGUGAACCGAUCAUGUAGUAGGCAAGCUGCGGAGGGACGCAGUGAGGUAGCUCAUCCCCGGUGAUGGUUGUCCGGGGCUAAGUGUGUGGACUGUCUGGUAGGUAAAUCCGCUGGGCGUGAAGGUUGAGGCAUGAUGGGGAGCCCAUGGUUGUGGGUGAGUGAGUGAUCCUGUACUGUCGAGAAAAGCUUCGUGAGCGAGGUGGCGGGUCCGCCCGUACCCUAAACCGACACUGGUGGAUAGGUAGAGUAUACCGAGGCGAUCGAGUGAAUCGUGGUGAAGGAACUCGGCAAAAUGCCCCCGUAACUUUGGGAUAAGGGGGACCUGAGCUGUCGUGCACCCGUGCGGUGUGGUGGCGGUGAGGGGCGCAGAGUCCAGGGGGAAACGACUGUUUACCAAAAACACAGGUCCGUGCGAAGUCGUAAGACGAUGUAUACGGACUGACUCCUGCCCGGUGCUGGAAGGUUAAGGGGAACUGUGAGUGUAUGCGUAGCGGUGAACUUAAGCCCCAGUAAACGGCGGUGGUAACUAUAACCAUCCUAAGGUAGCGAAAUUCCUUGUCGGGUAAGUUCCGACCUGCACGAAUGGAGUAACGAUUUCCCUACUGUCUCCACCAUGAACUCGGUGAAAUUGCAUUACGAGUAAAGAUGCUCGUUACGCGCAGCAGGACGGGAAGACCCCGGGACCUUUACUAUAGUUUGGUAUUGGUGAUUGGGACGGUUUGUGUAGGAUAGGUGGGAGACGUUGA
rnacentral:rRNA from 1 species